UACGUAGGGGGCUAGCGUUGUCCGGAUUUAUUGGGCGUAAAGAGCGUUGUAGGCGGCCAGGUAGGUCUGCUGUUGAAAACUCGAGGCUCAACCUCGAGACGUCGGCGGAAACCAUCUGGCUAGAGUCCGGAAGAGGAGAGUGGAAUUCCUGGUGUAGCGGUGAAAUGCGCAGAUAUCAGGAAGAACACCCGUGGCGAAGGCGGCUCUCUGGGACGGUACUGACGCUGAGACGCGAAAGCGUGGGGAGCGAACAGG
rnacentral:rRNA from 1 species